rnacentral:rRNA from 1 species
GUUGUAUAGUCAAGUAAUUAAGUGCAUGUGGUGGAUGCCUUGGCAGUCAGAGGCGAAUGAAAGACGUGAUAGCCUGCGAAAAGCUCCGGGGAGGCGGCAAAUAUCCUUUGAUCCGGAGAUGUCUGAAUGGGGGAACCCACCUACUUUAAGGUAGGUAUUGCAACAUGAAUACAUAGUGUUGCAAGGCGAACGAGGGGAAGUGAAACAUCUCAGUACCCUUAGGAAAAGAAAUCAAUUGAGAUUCCCUCAGUAGCGGCGAGCGAACGGGGAUCAGCCCAUUAAGUUAUGUGUGUUUUAGUGGAACGCUCUGGGAAGUGCGAACGUAGAGGGUGAUAAUUCCCGUACACGAAAGGGCACACAUAAUGAUGACGAGUAGGGCGAGGCACGUGAAACCUUGUCUGAAUAUGGGGGGACCAUCCUCCAAGGCUAAAUACUCCUGACUGACCGAUAGUGAACCAGUACCGUGAGGGAAAGGCGAAAAGAACCCCUGUGAGGGGAGUGAAAUAGAUCCUGAAACCGCAUGCAUACAAGCAGUGGGAGCACCUUCGUGGUGUGACUGCGUACCUUUUGUAUAAUGGGUCAGCGACUUAUAUUCAGUAGCGAGGUUAACCGUAUAGGGGAGCCGUAGAGAAAUCGAGUCUUAAUAGGGCGUUUAGUUGCUGGGUAUAGACCCGAAACCAGGCGAUCUAUCCAUGAGCAGGUUGAAGGUUGGGUAACACUAACUGGAGGACCGAACCCACUGUCGUUGAAAAGCCAGGGGAUGACUUGUGGAUAGGGGUGAAAGGCUAAUCAAGCCUGGUGAUAGCUGGUUCUCCCCGAAAGCUAUUUAGGUAGCGCCUCGGACGAAUACCAUAGGGGGUAGAGCACUGUUUCGGCUAGGGGGUCAUCCCGACUUACCAAACCGAUGCAAACUCCGAAUACCUAUGAGUACUAUCCGGGAGACAGACUGCGGGUGCUAACGUCCGUAGUCAAGAGGAAAACAAUCCAGACCGCCAGCUAAGGCCCCAAAAUCAUAGUUAAGUGGGAAACGAUGUGGGAAGGCAUAGACAGCUAGGAGGUUGGCUUAGAAGCAGCCACCCUUUAAAGAAAGCGUAAUAGCUCACUAGUCGAGUCGGCCUGCGCGGAAGAUGUAACGGGGCUAAAACUAUGUGCCGAAGCUGCGGAUGUAUACUUUGUAUACGUGGUAGGGGAGCGUUCUGUAAGCCGAUGAAGGUGUGUUGAGAAGCAUGCUGGAGGUAUCAGAAGUGCGAAUGCUGACGUGAGUAACGACAAAACGGGUGAAAAACCCGUUCGCCGAAAGACCAAGGGUUCCAGUCCAACGUUAAUCGGGGCUGGGUGAGUCGACCCCUAAGGCGAGGCCGAAAGGCGUAGUCGAUGGGAAAAUGGUUAAUAUUCCAUUACUUCUGUGUAAUGCGAUGAGAGGACGGAGAAGGCUAAAUCAGCCUGGCGUUGGUUGUCCAGGUGAAAGGAUGUAGGCAUGUAUCUUAGGCAAAUCCGGGGUACUCUAUGCUGAGAUCUGAUAGCAAGCUGUACUUGUACAGCGAAGUGGUUGAUGCCAUGCUUCCAGGAAAAGUCUCUAAGCUUCAGUUACACAGGAAUCGUACCCGAAACCGACACAGGUGGUCAGGUCGAGUAGACCAAGGCGCUUGAGAGAACUCUGCUGAAGGAACUAGGCAAAAUGGUACCGUAACUUCGGGAGAAGGUACGCUGUUGUUGGUGAUGGAACUCGCUUCCUGAGCUGACGACAGCCGCAGAAACCAGGCCGCUGCAACUGUUUAUUAAAAACAUAGCACUCUGCAAACACGAAAGUGGACGUAUAGGGUGUGAUGCCUGCCCGGUGCUGGAAGGUUAAUUGAUGGGGUUAGCGUAAGCGAAGCUCUUGAUCGAAGCCCCAGUAAACGGCGGCCGUAACUAUAACGGUCCUAAGGUAGCGAAAUUCCUUGUCGGGUAAGUUCCGACCUGCACGAAUGGCAUAAUGAUGGCGGCGCUGUCUCCAGCAGAGGCUCAGUGAAAUCGAAAUCGCUGUGAAGAUGCAGUGUACCCGCGGCUAGACGGAAAGACCCCGUGAACCUUUACUGCAGCUUGACACUGAACUUUGACCUUACUUGUGUAGGAUAGGUGGGAGGCUUUGAAGCUGGAACGCUAGUUCCAGUGGAGCCGUCCUUGAAAUACCACCCUGGUAAUGUUGAGGUUCUAACUCUGUCCCGUGAUCCGGGACGAGGACCGUGUCUGGUGGGUAGUUUGACUGGGGCGGUCUCCUCCUAAAGAGUAACGGAGGAGUACGAAGGUGCGCUCAGCGUGGUCGGAAAUCACGCGUAGAGUAUAAAGGCAAAAGCGCGCUUAACUGCGAGACCCACAAGUCGAGCAGGUACGAAAGUAGGUCUUAGUGAUCCGGUGGUUCUGUAUGGAAGGGCCAUCGCUCAACGGAUAAAAGGUACUCUGGGGAUAACAGGCUGAUACCGCCCAAGAGUUCAUAUCGACGGCGGUGUUUGGCACCUCGAUGUCGGCUCAUCUCAUCCUGGGGCUGAAGCAGGUCCCAAGGGUAUGGCUGUUCGCCAUUUAAAGAGGUACGCGAGCUGGGUUUAGAACGUCGUGAGACAGUUCGGUCCCUAUCUACCGUGGGCGCUGGAAAUUUGAGAGGAUCUGCUCCUAGUACGAGAGGACCAGAGUGGACGAACCUCUGGUGUACCGGUUGUGACGCCAGUCGCAUCGCCGGGUAGCUAUGUUCGGAAGGGAUAACCGCUGAAAGCAUCUAAGCGGGAAGCCUACCUCAAGAUAAGAUUUCCCUAGGACUUUAUGUCCUCUAAAGAGCCGUUCGAGACUAGGACGUUGAUAGGUUGGAUGUGGAAGCAUAGUGAUAUGUGAAGCUGACCAAUACUAAUUGCUCGUGAGGCUUGACUAUACAACACCCAAGCAGUUG